UUUAAAUGUCUCUGCAAAUUAGAGUUCAAAAGUUAACUUUUUUCCUGUGAUUCAACGUUAAAAUUACACGGGCUGCAGCUCAAGAUCACUUCAAAGAAAGUUAGAGCUAAUCUUGUGUAUUUUGGCGCCUUUUCCCUGCCAGCUACUGUACUUAAAAAAAACCAAAACUUGGAGAUCUUGUCUGUCCCGUCUCAAGUUCAAUGGCAGCCCUUUCCAGCAGCAGGAGGAGGAGAAGAUGGCCAUGUUCGCAGCCCUAAUAAUAAUUCAGAUCACGCCACAUCGGCAUCUUGUGUCAAAGUCGAAACUGGCUUCCCCGCCCCCUUCAACCUGUGAGCUGCCAAGUCCUCACACACUCUUCAUUCAACCACAACUUAAUGGAUGGGAUAUUGUGCAUUAAAAUGUGGCCCAGACAUACAGACGGAGAGAGGACAAGAGGGGAAAGCAGACAGACAGACACACACACACACACACACACACACACACACACACGAGAGAGGAAUGAAUUAAACUGCACGCACAACUCCCCCAGCAAUACAGCAGAGUGAAAAAACCCCAACAACAACAGAAACAAGCCUCAAAACUUUCCGAGACAAAAUCCGACAGAGAAACUGAACAUCACACACUACAACACAGUGGGAAAGACUCCUGCCUGUUUCCAGAGGCCACCUCUAGCCCAGCACACACAACCAUCACUGCCAUUUUUCUUCAAAAGUACACACGGCUGGAGAAAAGUGCAUUCAUUAUAACACCAAGGCGGCUCAAAGAAGUGAUAUCAGCAUUUAGGAAGGGGGUAUAACAUCCACUUUGAAACCACAGAGACAAAUCUCAGCUUGGAGAAGAAGAAGAAGAAAAGAAGAAAAGGCAACAAGCCAAGUAGAUUGAAAAAAAAAAGCAUCGUUUUCAAUGCCACAUACCAUUGCACUGUAUUGCAUUAAAUAAAUGGGAUCCUGAAAUCUGUAACACACAACACAGGGCCGUUGGCUUCACAUUUCUCAGGUUUCUUCACCAUGAGCCACGAAAAAAUAAUUUGAAUGAAAGCCAACUUUCUGGAAAAAGAGUGUGUAGCAAGUGGUUGAUUCAGCAGCAAAUUGUGUCAGCAGCAUAAUCGCAGAACAAACAAGAAUCAAAUUCUGUGGCCACACAAUCACAGAACAGAUAUGGGCAGAAUAAAAAUACAAACACGGAUGUUAUAGGUUGUACAGUAGAAAUGUCUUUAUUAAAUCUACCUGGCACUUGUCAUUGUGUCCUCUGCUUUAUGAUGUUGCAGCUUUGCUUAUAACGUUUGUUAAGUUGCUUAAAACUUCAGCACAUUUUAAACGCUUUAAGCUGAAAUUUUCUGUGGUUGGUAUCUGCUUCAAAUUGUUGAAAUUAAUUUUUUUUAAAGAAAUGUCAAGAUGAUUCUCAAAA